rnacentral:rRNA from 1 species
GAUGAACGCUGGCGGCGUGCCUAAUACAUGCAAGUCGAGCGAACGGACGAGAAGCUUGCUUCUCUGAUGUUAGCGGCGGACGGGUGAGUAACACGUGGAUAACCUACCUAUAAGACUGGGAUAACUUCGGGAAACCGGAGCUAAUACCGGAUAAUAUUUUGAACCGCAUGGUUCAAAAGUGAAAGACGGUCUUGCUGUCACUUAUAGAUGGAUCCGCGCUGCAUUAGCUAGUUGGUAAGGUAGCGGCUUACCAAGGCAACGAUGCAUAGCCGACCUGAGAGGGUGAUCGGCCACACUGGAACUGAGACACGGUCCAGACUCCUACGGGAGGCAGCAGUAGGGAAUCUUCCGCAAUGGGCGAAAGCCUGACGGAGCAACGCCGCGUGAGUGAUGAAGGUCUUCGGAUCGUAAAGCUCUGUUAUUAGGGAAGAACAUAUGUGUAAGUAACUGUGCACAUCUUGACGGUACCUAAUCAGAAAGCCACGGCUAACUACGUG